GUCCACGCCGUAAACUAUGGGUGCUAGCCGUCGGCAAGCUUGCUUGUCGGUGGCGCAGCUAACGCAUUAAGCACCCCGCCUGGGGAGUACGGCCGCAAGGUUAAAACUCAAAGGAAUUGACGGGGGGCCCCGCACAAGCGGUGGAGCAUGUGGUUUAAUUCGACGCAACGCGAAGAACCUUACCAGCCCUUGACAUGUCCGGACGACUUCCAGAGAUGGAUUUCUCCUAGCAAUAGGUCGGAACACAGGUGCUGCAUGGCUGUCGU
rnacentral:rRNA from 1 species